rnacentral:rRNA from 1 species
GACAGAGGUGCCGAGCGUUAGGCGGAAUCACUGGGCUUAAAGCGUGUGUAGGCGGGCGGGCAAGUACCUUGUGAAAUCCCACGGCUCAACCGUGGAACGGCUGGGUAUACUGCCUGGCUUGAGCCAACUAGGGGCGAGCGGAACAGACGGUGGAGCGGUGAAAUGCGUAGAUAUCGUCUGGAACGCCGAAGGUGAAAACAGCUCGCUGGGGUGGUGCUGACGCUGAGACACGAAAGCCAGGGGAGCGAACGGG